CCUACGGGUGGCAGCAGUGGGGAAUAUUGGGCAAUGGACGCAAGUCUGACCCAGCAACGCCGCGUGAAGGAAGAAGGCUUUCGGGUUGUAAACUUCUUUUAUGGGGGAAGAGCAGAAGACGGUACCCCUUGAUUAAGCCACGGCUAACUGCGUGCCAGCAGCCGCGGUAAUACGUAGGUGGCAAGCGUUGUCCAGCUUUACUGGGUGUAAAGGGCGUGCAUCCGGAGGUACAAGUCAGAUGUGAACUCCACGGGGUCAAACCGUGAACUGCAUUUGACACUGUUUCCCUUGAGUGUCAGAGAGGUAAUCGGAAUUCCGUGUGGAGCGGUGAAAUGCGUAGAUAUAAGGAAGAACACCAGUGGCGAAGGCGGAUUACUGGACGAUAACUGACGGUGAGGCGCGAAAGCGUGGGGAGCAAACAGGAUUAGAUACCCUGGUAGUC
rnacentral:rRNA from 1 species